AGCGAACGCUGGCGGCAGGCCUAACACAUGCAAGUCGAACGGAUCCUUCGGGAUUAGUGGCGGACGGGUGAGUAACACGUGGGAACGUGCCCUUUGGUUCGGAACAACUCAGGGAAACUUGAGCUAAUACCGGAUGUGCCCUUCGGGGGAAAGAUUUAUCGCGCAUUGGAGCGGCCCGCGUCUGAUUAGCUAGUUGGUGAGGUAAAGGCUCACCAAGGCGACGAUCAGUAGCUGGUCUGAGAGGAUGAUCAGCCACAUUGGGACUGAGACACGGCCCAAACUCCACCGGGAGGCAGCGGUGGGGAAUCUUGCGAAAGGGGCGAACGCCUAACGCAGCCAUGCCGCGUGAAUGAUGAAGGUCUUAGUAUGGUAAAAUUCUUUCACCGGGGACGAUAAUGACGGUACCCGGAGAAGAAGCCCCGGCUAACUUCGUGCCAGCCGCCGCGGUAA
rnacentral:rRNA from 1 species